GGCAGAAAGAAACAAAAAUGAAAAGAAAAUUGCAGUUGAGGCUAAAGUGUGAGAGUGUGUUUGUGUGUAUGUAUAUCUGUGUGUAUUUUUAAAGGUUUCUUUGAACUGCCUUUGUGCUGAGUAGGCAGAGCUCCUUGCCAAUGCUAGUCACGGUUUAAGGAACUUUGAGUUAACCUCUUAUAUCGAAUGAAUCUUUUCAUUUGGAAACCAAUAAAUCUCAAUCUCUAGCCACCUUUUGUAGAGCAGGCUGGGGCUUACCAAGGCGAGGCUGAAGCUUAUAAUAAAGAAGAGAUAAAGUUUGCCAAAGUUUUUUUUUUUCUUCCCCCCCUUCUUCUUCUCUUGUAAAUAAAAGUUUUGGAGAUGGCAGCAGUUGGAAGCAAUCCGGAGAAGGACUCGGAUCUGUGCAUUGUUUCACAGAGCAUCCAGAAGGAAAGAAGGUGAAGAGUGAAGCAAGAGGAGAGAAGAAUGUCCCUGUAUUGCUUUCCAGUCUGUCAUGGUCAUGGACUCCAUUAGGCUACAGGACCCCCUGUUAGCGUCAUCGCUCCUGGUCUCUUGGAAGUGGCCUUACAGAGCACAAGGUCUGUCCCGGCUGAAAUCUGCUGUUUGGGGUGAGGAGAAGGAGCAGGAGGUGCUCUCUGCCUACUGGGGUCAUGGGCACAGUUCUUACACCAGUCAUGCCACAAGCACUGCUUUAUUUUGUGCUGCCUGCCAGCCUCAAUUUCAACUUCUUACAAGACUUUUGUUUGCUACAGAAAACAUCAGAGGACUGGGGACUGCUGGCCUAUAUAGAAUAAGGAAUGUUGAUUUAACUGUUAAAGCAUUAACAUUUCCUUGGUGUCUCUUGUUUUUAGCUCUUUCUGAUUUCCUCGGGAGUAGUUUGACUGAUUCUGAUAUUUUUGAGUUGCUCAGGACCCUAAAAAUCCCAGAUCCUUAAAUCCAGGUAAGAAAUCAUUGCAUCUGGCUCUUGCUUAUUUCCUGUCUUUGUGGUCUGGGUGUGCCUCCUUCUCCCAGGCACAUAUGUGUGUGCAUACACACAGUCAACAUGAGGAGGGAAAGAAUGAGGUUUAUCUGCCUCUCUGGGAAUCACAUCUGGGAAAAGCAGAAUUGGUCUCUUCCUACAGCACUGAGGAACAAAUUUGGGGUGUUCUCCAUGACCCUUCUCCGUACAUCUCAGUCUGGGCUGCAGACCCAGCUGCUGUGUGGGGGCUGUCCCUCCUUCCUCCCAGCUCAGUGAUAGAAUUCUAGUGAGUGUAGAGAGGCAAAUGGCAGAACACUUGCAAAUAUUUCAAGAGUUUUUGCUUAUCAGUGUUCAGUGCUCUGGUUAGUCAUUAUUUCAUAGCAGGAGAAAUAGAGCCUCAGUGUUCCUCAAGUGAUACCCAUGAGGUGACAAUCACGGGGGCUCUGCUGAACUUCCUGAUAUUAAGGCAGCUAAAGUGCUGUUCAGAUGUAAUCCAAUCAGCAAGGCGCGACUCCAGGCAAGCUGGCAAACUGAGCUGAUGAGCACCUAGCGCACAGCACCUACUCAAAGUGCUGGGAUAAGGGUCAAGGUGCUUCCUGACAUGUGAUUAUCAGUGGUCACUGGUGAUACAGAGGAGACUGGUAAGAAGGGGAGGGAGAUGAUAAGAAUGGGCUCAUGGUGUCCCUGGGGCAGACAAAAGAAGAGUCAGAAAGAAACACUUCUAUUUUCUGGAGCAAAUAGAUUAAUUAGUGAGAAGAGUUGGUUUUGCAGAGCAGGCUUUCUUCACAAAUGGGCCUGAAUAGUACCAUUAUAGAGAUGAGGUCUCCACAGGCUUGUAUUUCUUCUCUUGGGAAACCAUGUUUUGUUAGGUGGUGAGGGAAGAGUGAUCCGAUCUCCUUAGUCCUACCAGUAAAUCUAUCCCCAGUAAAAACAAAUCUUAGUAAAUAGAAAAGCCUUUUUUUGUUUGUUUGGAUGCUUCUCUGUGUGAUAACACUUGCCUUGUUUAAAAGGUGUCCGUCCAACAACACAGCAAUAGCUCCUUAAAGGCAAAAAACAUUUACAGGAUAAAUUUCUUCUGAUGAAGGAAAGUGGGGGUCUCUGUCAUCUUAUACCAUUCUUACACACUUCAUAUUUAGUGCCCAUUUUACAUUUAAAAAAACAGCUUAUGUCAUAGAUUAGCAAGUAGCUUGAAUGUAGCAGCUAUGAUCUUCUAACUUUUUAAGGCUCCCACUUCAGGAACAUUUCUUACAGGGUAGGACCAUUGGCCACCAGAGUGCUGUGAAGAGUGGGUACCAGGACUGGAGGAUGAAAGGCUGUGGUAGAAGAUAUGGCUAAGCAGAGAAUCCAAGCUGGCAUUAUUGGUGAAGAAGGAAACUGGGAUAGAGUAAGGAAGAAUGGCAUGAAAAAAGCAAGCACAUGGGCAACUGAAAGGAGAGACUAACAGGUAUUACCUUGCUGUAGAAUGGAAGAAAAAGGAGUGUAAAAGAUGUCUGGAAGAAAGACACAAGGUGCUGAGAGAAGUGAUUUGUUGCUUGGGCUUGGACUGGAUGACAGAUGGGAGGCUGCAGUGAGGAAUGAGACACAGAAGGGAGAAGGGGGCAGACAGCAGAAUGAGCUGGACCUUGGGUGGGCAGCAGAGGGGAGGUGACAGGCGGCAUGGUUUGGGGGAGGCUGGCUGCCAGCCCUCCUGGGUGAUGGAGUGGCAUUGUCAGUAGUGGGAUUGUCAGGGAUGGCAGGUGACAAGGUGUGGGCAAUAUGGAGCAGAAAACGUUCAUCCCUCACCCCUGAUGUGGGAGGGGUGAGCUCAGUUUCUCGCAGUACAGUUCCUCAAAAUCCAGGGCCAUCUGGACACAGUCCUGUCCCUCGCACAAGCUGUCACCCAGGAAUUGCUCAGGCAGCCGUGACUAGCUGGUGCAUCUGGGAGUAUCUGUGCUCAUGGCCAGGAGGGCAGAUGGCACCAGAUUCACUACAGUGGCUUUGCAGCACCUGGUACCCCUGUUUUGGUGGGGGGUCCUGUGGAGCCAGGUGAGCUUUGCCUUGGGCACUGUGGUGUCACUUGAUUUGGUGGUACAGGGCUGCUCUGCCACAUUGACCCAGCAGUCUCCCUGACGCCUUCAAUAUCAUUGUGCAAAUAUUUGGGGAUAGGUGUGCUCCUUUCCAGCUGGCCUUCUAGUGUUGGGCAUUGCUGAAGAGCAGCCUGAGGUGGGUGAUGAAGGAGGACAGUGGACCUCAGCUGACAUCAUCUCAGCAAUGUGUUUGCAGUGACUGAUGUCCUCAGCCCGCUCCCCUUGGUGUUUUGUGUUGCUCAAGAAAUGGGUAUGAAGAAGAGUCACUGAAAACACUGGUCACUCUGCUUGCAUACACCUACACAUCAGGAACUGUUUUCUUCAAGAAAUAUUUUAUUAGCACUUUGCCAUCCUAGUAACAGUACUAGCUUUUCAUAGCAGCUGUGAUAUGGAAUUUGUCAAAAAAUAAAAUGCUUUUGGGCAAGAAAGUGAUGUUGUGU
rnacentral:lncRNA from 1 species